rnacentral:rRNA from 1 species
AGCUGCAGAUAUGGUGACAGCCCCAACGGGUUAGGCAUGGGAUCAUGGAAUAGGACCCUGUCCUCCUAUUUUCAGUUGGUUUUGGCAGCGCGAGGACUAGGGUAAUGAUUAAUAGGGAUAGUUGGGGGCAUUAAUAUUUAAUUGUCAGAGGUGAAAUUCUUGGAUUUAUGAAAGAUUAACUUCUGCGAAAGCAUCUGCCAAGGAUGUUUUCAUUAAUCAAGAACGAAAGUUAGGGGAUCGAAGACGAUCAGAUACCGUCGUAGUCUUAACCAUAAACGAUGCCGACCAGCGAUUAGGAGACGUUGAAUACAAAACACCACCAUCGGCGCGGUCGUCCUUGGCGUCUCUGUCCCUUUCAACGGGGGCAGGCGCGAGGGCGGUUUAGCCCGGUGGCACCGGUGAAUGACUCC